CAGUCGCCACGGGAAUACGUAGGGUGCGAGCGUUAAUCGGAAUUACUGGGCGUAAAGCGCGCGUAGGCGGUUACUCAAGUCAGAGGUGAAAGCCCGGGGCUCAACCCCGGGACUGCCUUUGAAACUAGGUGACUAGAAUCUUGGAGAGGUCAGUGGAAUUCCGAGUGUAGAGGUGAAAUGCGUAGAUAUGUGGAGGAAUACCGAUGGCGAAGGCAGCCCCCUGGGAUAACACUGACGCUCAUGCACGAAAGCGUGGGGAGCAAACAGGAUUAGAUACCCCAGUAGUCCCUGUCUCUUAUAC
rnacentral:rRNA from 1 species